AACGGAUCUCUUGGCUCUCGCAUCGAUGAAGAACGCAGCGAAAUGCGAUACGUAAUGUGAAUUGCAGAAUUCAGUGAAUCAUCGAAUCUUUGAACGCACCUUGCGCCCCUUGGCAUUCCGAGGGGCACACCCGUUUGAGUGUCGUGAAAUCCUCAAAACCCCCUUUUCCUUUCAUCGGUAUGGGGAUUUUGGACUUGGAGGUUCAAUGCUCGCUUUUGCCUUUGAAAGCGAGCUCCUCUUAAAUGAAUCAGUGGGGUCCGCUUUGCUGAUCCUUGACGUGAUAAGAUGUUUCUACGUUUUGGACCUGGCACUGUUUUCUCCGCUCCUAAUCGUCUCAUUGACAAUGAUGGUGCUUCGGUCCCCUGCCAUCUCCACGUUGGCGGGAGGCUGGACCCACGAAAAGACCUUGACCUCAAAUCGGGUGAGACUACCCGCUGAACUUAAGCAUAUCAAUAAGCGGAGGAAAAGAAACUAACAAGGAUUCCCCUAGUAACUGCGAGUGAAGCGGGAAAAGCUCAAA
rnacentral:rRNA from 1 species